rnacentral:lncRNA from 1 species
GUUACCACCUAAACUGUGGAAUGAAUUUUUUAGUAAAACAGCUCCUAAGCAUUGCUUUCACUGUGUCAUUGAAAAUUCUGAGUUCAUUUCUUUUUGCAGUGUAUUCAGAGAUGGGAUUAUAGGAUAAUAUGGUAUCAUAUGAGAGUAUUUUUUUUUGUAUUUAUUUUUCUCACAUAUAUUACAUUCUGAGCACAGUUUCCCCUCCCUACCACCCUCCCUGUACUCUCCAUCUCUCCUCUACUUGAUCCAUUCCUUCUCCAUUUCCCUUCAAAAAGGGUCAGAUCUUCCAGGGAUAGCAACUAAACAUGGCAUAUCAAGUUGCAAUAAAACUGGGCACUUCCCUUAUAUUAAGGCCGGAAAAGGUGACCCAGAAGGAGAAAAAGGAUCUCAGAAACAGGAAUUAAAAACUUUGUGAAGCAUUUUUAUCCUGCUUCCCAUAAGAGCACGGCCUUCAAGAUUCUCACUAUAUACAACUGUUUCAGUAUUUCGACAUACUGAAUGAUAUUUAUUUUCAGUUACAUUAUAAAAUGUUCUAGCAGUUCAGGCUGGAGAUACAUCUCAGUGGGAAAGCACUUGUUUUAUAUGAUCAAGGCCCUGGGUUCAAUCCCCAGAAACCUCUCCAACCUCUAAAUAAAAAGAAUAAAAUUCAGGUUUAAUGCUAAUGGUGGAGUUGACUUACAGUUGCUUGUUUAUAUUGGAUUCUAAAACUGACAUUUUGCCCAUGUUAAAAUGCUACCACACCCAUAAUCUUUCCAUUUCUGUCUUCACCCAUUUGCUCCAACGUGUUCAUCACCCAGCAGAUAGUCCCUGUUCUCUCCUUUGUCCUGAGUUGAAUCACUAGGAACGCAGCACUAGAGGGGUAGGUCCAAACAUCUUCCUCAAAAGGACUGAACAUUGUCCUUUCUUUAAUUGGUAGUGAUUGUUUUUUCUUUGAAAUCAGCCUAUAUUCUUCAAAUUUAGCAUAAAUAUAAAAAUAAAUAAAACCCCAAUUACAGUGACAGUGUAGAUUGUCAAGCUCUGGAAAAGAACGGAAUGACAUAUUCUUCCACCUUGCUCUAGAGGCUAAGUAAAGUAAAAUAAAUUUUGAUACACAAAUCCCCUAUUUCCAGUGAUGGGAAAGUUGACAAAAUCUAUUAUUCCAAAUCUGGUAAAAUGGCUUGGUGUGCAAAGGCAGUAAAACCUACGUACCAGAGUUUGGUGCCUGGACCCACAUUGGGAAGAAGAGAACCAAUUCUAUAAGGUGUCUUCCAACAUGCACCACAUACACACACACGUAAAUAAAAUGUAAUGCUUUUAAAAUCAAUAAUAAUCAUUUUGUAGGGCAUGGCAGCACACAUAUGUCUCCCUAGCACUUGGGAGAAGCAGCAGGAUUGGGAGUUCAAGACCAGUCUCAGGCUAAACAGGAGGCUGAAGUCAGCCUGAGCUAGUUGAGACCAGUCUAAUGAAACAAACAAAAAGUUUAGUAUUUUUUAAUACAAUGUAUUAAAUUAAGCUUUUAGCAAAUUACAGAAAUUGAAUUAUAUGAUUGUGACAGUAAAAUAAAACCCCCUGUAAUGAUUUGAAUUCUAAAUGUGGUAAUAAUAAAGGCUUUCUUUCAUGGCAAAGUCAAAAAAAUGAUGUACUACAGACCAACCCUAAACAUUUACUUUGUAUGAGAUUCCAAUGCAGGAUGAAUUGUGAAACAUUUGUGAAAUGAGCUGUUAUUGAAUCAUUUUAAUUAAAAUUUUCUUCAAAAACUAUGUAUUUUUUAUUUUUUAAACUUUGUAGAAUUAUUAAAAGGAUAUACUGUGUUCUCUCGCUUUUGAUGCUGAAAAAAUAUAUAUUUUAUCAUUUCCUACUUCAUGUAAACAUCCUAAUUACUAGAAAAAUGUACAUGGAAG